rnacentral:rRNA from 1 species
AUGGCCCAGUAUAUAUACGCCACCACCGCCCGCUGCUGCUGCAGCUCCGCACGCGCCCACCCCGCGAUCCCGCUCCAGGCUCCCGCACCAGCCCCGUCGCCGUCUCGAUCGCCGCUCCGGUGGAGGUCGGCCAUGGGCGCGAGCGAUCGCCUGGCGGUGGCCGCCGCCAAGCCGCGUCACGCGGCGCCGUGCGCGGCGACCGUGCUGGGCGAGCCGCUGCCGGCGUCCGACGACCACGGCCUCGUCCACCCCAGCCCCCACUUCGCCGCCCAGGCCCUUGUCUCCUCUCCGCAGCAGUACCUGGAGAUGUAUCAGCGGUCGAUUGACGAUCCUGCCGGGUUCUGGUCAGAGAUCGCUGAAACAUUCUACUGGAAGCAGAAGUGGAGCCCUGAGGAAGUCUGUACUGAGAACCUUGAUGUCACAAAGGGGCCGAUCAAGAUCGAAUGGUUUAAAGGGGGCAAAACUAACAUAUGCCACAAUGCCGUGGACCGCUACGUGGAAGCUGGGGACGGUGCGAAGAUUGCGAUGUAUUGGGAGGGGAAUGAGCCUGAUCAAGAUGGAAAGCUCACAUACUCAGAGCUCUUGGGUAAGGUUUGCCAGCUGGCCAAUUAUUUGAAGAGUGUCGGGGUUGAAAAAGGUGAGGCUGUGGUGAUCUACUUGCCGAUGCUGAUGGAGCUGCCUAUUGCAAUGCUUGCAUGCGCUCGCAUUGGUGCUGUCCACUCUGUCGUGUUUGCUGGCUUCUCCGCUGAUGCAAUAGCCCAGAGGAUCAUUGACUGCAAGCCUAAGGUUGUGAUUACAUGCAAUGCUGUGAAAAGGGGGCUGAAACUCAUCGCCCUCAAAGAUAUAGUAGAUGCGUCUCUGGUUGAAAGUGCAAAAAAUGAUGUCACAGUAGGCAUUUGUUUGACAUAUGAAAAUCAUUUGGCCAUGAAGAAAGAGGACACACAAUGGAUAGCUGGAAGAGAUGUUUGGUGGGAGGAUGUUGUGCCCAAUUUCCCAACUAGAUGUGAUGUGGAAUGGGUUGAUGCAGAGGAUCCAUUGUUUCUUCUAUACACUAGUGGCAGCACAGGAAAACCAAAGGGUGUACUGCAUACAACGGGGGGCUAUAUGGUAUAUGCCGCAACAACAUUUAAACAUGCAUUUGAUUACAAGCCAACAGACAUAUACUGGUGUACUGCAGACUGUGGCUGGAUUACUGGACAUAGUUAUGUGACUUAUGGUCCUCUCCUGAAUGGAGCAACAGUUCUCGUUUAUGAAGGGGCUCCAAACUACCCUGAUCCUGGUCGGUGUUGGGACAUUGUUGACAAAUACGGAGUGACAAUAUUUUAUACUGCACCAACACUUAUCCGUUCGCUCAUGCGUGAUGGUUCCGUGUAUGUUGAUCGGUACUCACGUAAGUCUCUCCGAGUUUUAGGAAGUGUGGGUGAGCCAAUUAAUCCAACUGCAUGGAGGUGGUUCUAUAAUGUUGUCGGUGACUCGAGAUGCCCGAUUACACCUUUACCUGGCGCUUGGCCUCAGAAACCAGGAUCUGCUACAUUUCCUUUCUUUGGUGUACAGCCAGUGAUUGUUGACGAGAAAGGGCGGGAAAUGCCCGGAGAAUGCAGUGGAUACCUUUGCAUAAAGAAGUCAUGGCCUGGAGCUUUCCGGACUCUGUAUGGAGAUAAGGACAGAUAUGAGACAACAUACUUCAAACCGUUUUCUGGCUAUUAUUUCUCUGGUGAUGGUUGUAGGAGGGACAAAGAUGGUUACCAUUGGCUGACCGGAAGAGUGGAUGAUGUUAUCAAUGUCAGUGGACACCGGAUUGGUACAGCAGAGGUUGAAUCUGCUCUUGUUUCACAUCCAAAAUGUGCCGAGGCUGCUGUUGUUGGAAUAGACCAUGAGGUUAAAGGUCAGGGAAUCUACGCAUUUGUAACUUUGGUGGAUGGUGUUCCUUACAGUGAUGAUCUACGAAAAAGCCUUAUUAUGGCGGUCCGCAGCCAGAUUGGCGCAUUUGCAGCACCUGACAAGAUCCACUGGGCACCGGGGCUCCCGAAGACACGGAGCGGCAAGAUCAUGCGAAGAAUAUUGCGGAAAAUUGCCUCCAGGCAGCUGGAUGAGCUUGGUGACACGAGCACGCUUGCUGACCCUGGUGUGGUCGACCAGCUGAUAUCGCUUAGCGAUAGUUAG